rnacentral:rRNA from 1 species
UAAAAGUCGUAACAAGGUUUUCGUAGGUGAACCUGCGGAAGGAUCAUUAAUGAAUUCGGGCGCUCGACUCUGAAAUAUUGAGAUCGGCCCCAUUUCUUAAUCCACUUCACACUUGUGCACAUUUUUCCUACUUUCCUUCGGGAGAGUUUGAAAAGCUCUUGUGAUUUUAAUCAAGUCCAGGAUGUGAAUCCAAUUUGAAUAAGUUGUAAAACAACUACAAACGGUGGAUCUCUUGGCUCUCGUAUCGAUGAAGAACGCAGCGAAACGCGAAAUGUAAUGUGAAUUGCAGAAUUCAGUGAAUCAUCGAAUCUUUGAACGCAUCUUGCACUCUCGAAUCACUAUCGAGAGUAUGCCUGUUUGAGUGUCGCGAAACUCUCAACCCCGCCUCAUGCUUUAUUGCGUGUGGGUAGCUUGGGCUUGGAUCAUGAUCUUUGCAGUAAUGCGCUAGCAGAACUGCUGGAUUGAAAUACAACAAGCUGAAUCUAUAUACUUGCGGCUUGACCUGUCGUUGUAGGCACACAAAUGCAUUCGAUGGGGACGCGAGAAAAUGGAAUGAGCUUUCCAAAUGUGUUACACUUUGCAGCUUCUAUUAACUUAGAGCUCUUAGUGCAUUCUGACCUCAAAUCAGGUAGGAUUACCCGCUGAACUUAAGCAUAUCAAUA